rnacentral:rRNA from 1 species
CGCCACAGCCAUAUCACCCUGCACCCCAAGACCGGUUACCCACUGAAGCUGAGCCUGGUCAGUACCUGGAUGGGAGACCACUAGGGAACACUAGGUUGCUGUUGGAA